rnacentral:hammerhead_ribozyme from 1 species
GCACUACUGAGGAGUCCCACAACAGGACGAAACGGCCAUCCAGCAC